rnacentral:rRNA from 1 species
UACGGAGGGUGCGAGCGUUGUCCGGAAUCACUGGGCGUAAAGGGCGCGUAGGCGGCGCGGGUAGUCAUCGGUGAAAGUUCAGGGCUCAACUCUGAAUCGGCCGGUGAUACUCCCGUGCUCGAGCACUGUAGAGGCAGGUGGAAUUCCGGGUGUAGCGGUGAAAUGCGUAGAGAUCUGGAGGAACACCGAUGGCGAAGGCAGCCCCCCUGGGCUAACACUGACGCUCAUGCACGAAAGCGUGGGGAGCAAACAGG